UACGGAGGGUGCAAGCGUUGUCCGGAAUCACUGGGCGUAAAGGGCGCGUAGGCGGUUAUGCAAGACAGAUGUGAAAUCCCCGGGCUCAACCUGGGAACUGCAUUUGUGACUGCAUGGCUAGAGUACGGUAGAGGGGGAUGGAAUUCCGCGUGUAGCAGUGAAAUGCGUAGAGAUGUGGAGGAAUACCGAUGGCGAAGGCAGCCCCCUGGGCCAAUACUGACGCUCAUGCACGAAAGCGUGGGGAGCAAACAGG
rnacentral:rRNA from 1 species